GGGCGGUUAGCUCAGCUGGGAGAGCGCCUGCCUUACAAGCAGGAAGUCAGAGGUUCAAGUCCUCUACCGCCCA
rnacentral:tRNA from 1 species